GUAAUAGCUCAGUUGGUAGAGUGGCGAAUUAAUAUCCAGCCAAAGAUAAAGUCGCGGGUUCAAUUCCAUCUAUGGU
rnacentral:tRNA from 1 species